AAGUCGUAACAAGGUUUCCGUAGGUGAACCUGCGGAAGGAUCAUUACCAAUUUUAAUCCAUAUACUCUAACCCAUGUGCACGAUGAUUUUGUCUGUCCUUGGGGUGGCUUUUUGGUGUACUUUUUUCUGCCCAUUUUACAUGGGUAGAGGAAUUGAGCGUCAAACUUAGUCGCCCCAUGCUUGUUUUUCAAUCCUUUGUUUUUCAUUGGCAUUUGUCUUAAAAUUGUAAUAAUAGACAACUUUUAACGGUGGAUCUCUUGGCUCGUG
rnacentral:misc_RNA from 1 species